UACGUAGGGGGCAAGCGUUGUCCGGAUUUACUGGGCGUAAAGAGCGUGUAGGCGGCCAGGCAGGUCUGUUGUGAAAACUGGAGGCUCAACUUCCAGACGUCGACAGAAACCGCUUGGCUAGAGUCCGGAAGAGGAGAGUGGAAUUCCUGGUGUAGCGGUGAAAUGCGCAGAUAUCAGGAAGAACACCGAUGGCGAAGGCAGCUCUCUGGGACGUUACUGACACUGAGGCGCGAAAGCGUGGGGAGCGAACAGG
rnacentral:rRNA from 1 species